rnacentral:rRNA from 1 species
AACGUAGGAGGCAAGCGUUAUCCGGAUUCACUGGGCGUAAAGCGCGUGCAGGCGGUUCGGUAAGUUGGGCGUGAAAUCUCCUGGCUUAACUGGGAGAGGCCGUCCAAUACUACCGGACUAGAGAGCAGUAGAGGAAGAUGGAAUUCCCGGUGUAGUGGUGAAAUGCGUAGAUAUCGGGAGGAACACCAGUGGCGAAGGCGAUCUUCUGGACUGUUUCUGACGCUCAGACGCGAAAGCUAGGGUAGUAAACGGGAUUAGAGACCCCGGUAAUCCUAGCCGUAAACGAUGUGAACUUGGCGUCGGUGGCUUAAACUCCAUCGGUGCCGAAGCAAACGCGAUAAGUUCACCGCCUGGGGACUACGAUUGCAAGAUUAAA